rnacentral:rRNA from 1 species
GACGAACGCUGGCGGCGUGCUUAACACAUGCCAGUCGAACGGAAAGGCCCUGCUUUUGUGGGGUGCUCGAGUGGCGAACGGGUGAGUAACACGUGAGUAACCUGCCCUUGACUUUGGGAUAACUUCAGGAAACUGGGGCUAAUACCGGAUAGGAGCUCCUGCUGCAUGGUGGGGGUUGGAAAGUUUCGGCGGUUGGGGAUGGACUCGCGGCUUAUCAGCUUGUUGGUGGGGUAGUGGCUUACCAAGGCUUUGACGGGUAGCCGGCCUGAGAGGGUGACCGGCCACAUUGGGACUGAGGUACGGCCCAGACUCCUACGGGAGGCAGCAGUGGGGAAUAUUGCACAAUGGGCGGAAGCCUGAUGCAGCAACGCCGCGUGCGGGAUGACGGCCUCCGGGUUGUAAACCGCUUUCGCCUGUGACGAAGCGUGAGUGACGGUAAUGGGUAAAGAAGCACCGGCUAACUACGUG